CUAACGGAAAAGGGUGUAACCACACUUGCCUAUCGAAGUCACGCGCGGGUACCGAUUACAGUAAUUAAUUAAGGUAUUUCCUAAUCAAGUCGAUCACGACUUGCGUUAAUAAAGUCGGUAAAGGUCAGGCAUAUAGUAAUAGAGUAUAAUAAGGCAGUAAGUUAGUAUAACAUAAGUUAGUUGGCAGUAACUGUCAGUACUAUUGAGAGGCGCAGGACAGGAGUCCUAGUACGGCUUUGAAAUAAAGAAAUAGACUCUGGGCGCCAUCCCACUCGCGUCAGACAGAGUAUUGCGGAAGGCAAGAGAGAAACCACUGCCCUAUUUUUCCCUAAAAAGUAGCAUACAGAAUGCUACACCGACAAGAGCGUGGCUCUUAAAUUUGUGAUGAAUUUGUUAAUUAACGAGGGACGAACUGGAGAGGGGCUCAUGUAGCAAAUGGAGGGGAGAGACAUUUGGGCUAUUCAAGACAAGACAAGAUUAUUACACAAUGUUAUUUAAGGUGUGUUUACUCAAUUAUAAUAUCAACUUACAGAUGAGUUAACGUCGGCUUAAUUAGUCCAUCAUUUUAGAAAGGUCAUGGGGCACAAUAU